AAUUAUUUUGCCAUUAAUUUCGAAUGGCUUUGACAUGUCUUCGGAUAAAGACAAUUAGAUAUUGAAAAUGAAGCGUUGGCAAGGCAAAAGUCGAAAAAUCAAACCAUUCUGGUGUGCUCCUUAUUCCCAUUUUUCCAUUCUGAUAGGUCAGCAAGGAGUUCCAGGUAAAACUGGACCAGCAGGGCCUGAAGGUCGCAAGGGAAUACAAGGUGAAUCUGGAAUAGUUGGAGUGAUUUAUACCCGGUGGGGGAAAAAGACCUGUCCAAAUACUGGAUCUACGUUGGUCUAUGAAGGU